CCGGCGACCGGCGCACGGGUGAGUAACACGUAUGCAACCUGGCCGUGACAGAUGGAUAACCGGGAGAAAUCCCGCCUAAUACAACAUAAUGCCGGGAGGGGACAUCCCCUGCCGGUCAAAGGGGGCGACCCCGGUCACGGAUGGGCAUGCGGCGCAUUAGGUAGUUGGUGGGGCAACGGCCCACCAAGCCGACGAUGCGUAGGGGUUCUGAGAGGAAGGUCCCCCACAUUGGAACUGAGACACGGUCCAAACUCCUACGGAAGGCAGCAG
rnacentral:rRNA from 1 species